UGACCUCAAAUCAGGUAGGACUACCCGCUGAACUUAAGCAUAUCAUA
rnacentral:rRNA from 6 species